CCUGGCGGCACUAGCGCGGUGGUCCCACCUGACCCCAUCCCGAACUCAGAAGUGAAACGCCGUAGCGCCGAUGGUAGUGUGGGGUCUCCCCAUGUGAGAGUAGGGAACUGCCAGGC
rnacentral:rRNA from 1 species